rnacentral:rRNA from 1 species
GGAAGUAAAAGUUCGAACAAGGUUUCCGUAGGUGAACCUGCGGAAGGAUCAUUA